AAUUUUGGACAAUGGGCGCAAGCCUGAUCCAGCCAUGCCGCGUGAGUGAAGAAGGCCUUCGGGUCGUAAAGCUCUGUCCUAAGGGAAGAAGAGGACGGUACCUUAGGAGGAAGCCCCGGCUAACUACGUGCCAGCAGCCGCGGUAAUACGUAGGGGGCGAGCGUUAUCCGGAAUUACUGGGCGUAAAGGGUGCGUAGGCGGCCUUUUAAGUCAGAUGUGAAAGGCUACGGCUUAACCAUAGUUAGCAUUUGAAACUAAGAGGCUUGAGUGCAGGAGAGGAGGGUGGAAUUCCUAGUGUAGCGGUGAAAUGCGUAGAUAUUAGGAGGAACACCAGUGGCGAAGGCGACUCUCUGGACUGCAACUGACGCUGAGGCACGAAAGCGUGGGUAGCGAACAGG
rnacentral:rRNA from 1 species